GCGGCGAACGGGUGAGGAACACGUGAAGAAUCUGCCUUCAACUCUGGGAUAACUCCGGGAAACCGGGGCUAAUACCGGAUAUGAGCCUUGAUCGCAUGAUCGGGGCUAGAAAGUUUUUCGGUUGAAGAUGACUUCGCGGCCUAUCAGCUUGUUGGUGAGGUAAUGGCUCACCAAGGCGACGACGGGUAGCCGGCCUGAGAGGGCGACCGGCCACACUGGGACUGAGACACGGCCCAGACUCCUACGGGAGGCAGCAGUGGGGAAUAUUGGGCAAUGGAGGAAACUCUGACCCAGCGACGCCGCGUGAGGGAUGAAGGCCUUCGGGUUGUAAACCUCUUUCAGUAGGGAAGAAGCGAAAGUGACGGUACCUACAGAAGAAGCACCGGCUAACUAUGUGCCAGCAGCCGCGGUAAUACAUAGGGUGCAAGCGUUGUCCGGAAUUAUUGGGCGUAAAGAGCUCGUAGGUGGUUCGAUACGUCGGAUGUGAAAAUCAGGGGCUCAACCCCUGACCUGCAUCCGAUACGGUCGAGCUAGAGUUUGGUAGGGGAGACUGGAAUUCCUGGUGUAGCGGUGGAAUGCGCAGAUAUCAGGAGGAACACCGAUGGCGAAGGCAGGUCUCUGGGCCAAUACUGACACUGAGGAGCGAAA
rnacentral:rRNA from 1 species